GGUUCGAUUCCGGAGAAGGAGCCUGAGAAACGGCUACUACAUCUAAGGAAGGCAGCAGGCGCGUAAAUUACCCAAUCCUGACUCAGGGAGGUAGUGACAAGAUAUAACAACGUGAAGUCAAAUUCGCGAUUGUAGUGAGGUUAUUCCAAACCGAAAUUCGAGUACGAUUGGAGGACAAGUCUUGGUGCCAGCACCCGCGGUAAUUCCAGCUCCAAUAGCGUAUAUUAAAGUUGUUGCAGUUAAAAAGCUCGUAGUUGGAUUUCUAGAGAGAGGCCUCAAAACCAAUCUCUACUAGUCCCUUCUGGGACAGUUACUGUGAGA
rnacentral:rRNA from 1 species